UACGUAGGGUGCGAGCGUUGUCCGGAAUUAUUGGGCGUAAAGGGCUCGUAGGCGGUUUGUCGCGUCGGGAGUGAAAUCCACUGGCUUAACUGGUGGCUUGCUUUCGAUACGGGCAGACUGGAGGUAUGCAGGGGAGAACGGAAUUCCUGGUGUAGCGGUGAAAUGCGCAGAUAUCUGGAGGAACACCGGUGGCGAAGGCGGCAUCCUGGACCAACACUGACGCUGAUGAGCGAAAGCCAGGGGAGCAAAGCGGG
rnacentral:rRNA from 1 species